UGGGAAUAUUGGACAAUGGGCGCAAGCCUGAUCCAGCCAUGCCGCGUGUGUGAAGAAGGCCCUUAGGGUUGUAAAGCACUUUCAGUGGGGAGGAAGGGUGUUGUGUUAAUAGCACGGCAUUUUGACGUUACCCACAGAAGAAUGCACCGGCUAACUCCGUGCCAGCAGCCGCGGUAAUACGGAGGGUGCAAGCNUUAAUCGGAAUUACUGGGCGUAAAGCGCACGCAGGCGGCUUUUUAAGUCGGAUGUGAAAGCCCCGGGCUCAACCUGGGAAUUGCAUCUGAUACUGGGAAGCUAGAGUAUGUGAGAGGGGGGUUAAAUUCCAAGUGUAGCGGUGAAAUGCGUAGAGAUUUGGAGGAAUACCAGUGGCGAAGG
rnacentral:rRNA from 1 species